rnacentral:rRNA from 1 species
AUUGAACGCUGGCGGCAGGCUUAACACAUGCAAGUCGAGCGGAGAUGAGGUGCUUGCACCUUAUCUUAGCGGCGGACGGGUGAGUAAUGCUUAGGAAUCUGCCUAUUAGUGGGGGACAACAUUCCGAAAGGAAUGCUAAUACCGCAUACGUCCUACGGGAGAAAGCAGGGGAUCUUCGGACCUUGCGCUAAUAUAUGAGCCUAAGUCGGAUUAGCUAGUUGGUGGGGUAAAGGCCUACCAAGGCGACGAGCUGCAGCGGGUCUGAGAGGAUGAUCCGGCACACUGGGACGGAGACACGGCCCAGACUCCUACGGGAGGCAGCAGUGGGGAAUAUUGGACAAUGGGGGGAACCCUGAGCCAGCCAUGCCGCGUGUGUGAAGAAGGCCUUAUGGUUGUAAAGCACUUUAAGCGAGGAGGAGGCUACUGAGACUAAUACUCUUGGAUAGUGGACGUUACUCGCAGAAUAAGCACCGGCUAACUCUGUGCCAGCCGCCGCGGUAAGAC